rnacentral:rRNA from 1 species
AGUGGCGGACGGGUGAGUAACGCGUAGGAAUCUGCCUGAUAGUGGGGGAUAGCCCGAAGAAAUUCGGAUUAAUACCGCAUAAUCUAUUCGUAGUAAAGUGGGGGACUUUCGAGCCUCACGCUAUCAGAUGAGCCUGCGUAAGAUUAGCUUGUUGGUAGGGUAAAAGCCUACCAAGGCGACGAUCUUUAGCUGGUCUGAGAGGAUGAUCAGCCACAUCGGGACUGAGACACGGCCCGAACUCCUACGGGAGGCAGCAGUGGGGAAUAUUGGACAAUGGGGGCAACCCUGAUCCAGCAAUACCGCGUGUGUGAAGAAGGCCUGAGGGUUGUAAAGCACUUUCAAUUGUGAAGAAAAGUUAGCGGUUAAUAACCGUUAGCCUUGACGUUAACUUUAGAAGAAGCACCGGCUAACUCCGUGCCAGCAGCCGCGGUAAUACGGAGGGUGCAAGCGUUAAUCGGAAUUACUGGGCGUAAAGCGUGCGUAGGCGGUUUAUUAAGUCAGAUGUGAAAGCCCCGGGCUUAACCUGGGAACUGCAUUUGAAACUGGUCAACUAGAGUAUGGUAGAGGAAAGUGGAAUUUCUGGUGUAGCGGUGAAAUGCGUAGAUAUCAGAAGGAACAUCAAUGGCGAAGGCAGCUUUCUGGACCAAUACUGACGCUGAGGUACGAAAGCGUGGGUAGCAAACAGGAUUAGAUACCCUGGUAGUCCACGCCGUAAACGAUGAUAACUAGCCGUUGGGGGGAUUUACCCUUUAGUGGCGAAGCUAACGCG